UGUUCAUUAAGCGCUGAAAAGUUGAUGG
rnacentral:sRNA from 1 species